rnacentral:tRNA from 1 species
GGUGGGGUGUACCGAACGGCAAGGUGCCGCUCUCGAAAAGCGGAGGGCUAACGCCCGUGCGAGUUCAAAUCUCGCCCCCACCGCCA